AUUGAACGCUGGCGGCAUGCUUUACACAUGCAAGUCGAACGGCAGCGCGGGCUUCGGCCUGGCGGCGAGUGGCGAACGGGUGUGUAAUGCAUCUGAACUUGCCCAAGCUCUGGGGUUAGCCUGGCGAAAGCCGUAUAAAUACCGCAUUCAACCUUCGUGUGAAAGCGGGGGACCGAAAGUCCUUUCGCCUUUGGAUGGGCCGGUGUCGGAUUAGCUAGUUGGUGGGGUAACGGCUUACCAAGGCGACGAUCCGUAGCUGGUCUGAGAGGACGACCGGCCACACUGGGACUGAGACACGGCCCAGACUCCGACGGGAGGCAGCAGUGGGGAAUUUUGGACAAUGGGGGCAAGCCUGAUCCAGCCAUGCCGCGUGAGGGAAGCAGGCCUUCGGGUUGUAAACCGCUUUUGUUCGGGAAGAAAACCUCUGGGCUAAUACCCCGGGAGGAUGACGGUACCGGAAGAAUAAGCACCGGCUAACUACGUG
rnacentral:rRNA from 1 species